rnacentral:rRNA from 1 species
GCAUAUCAAUAAGCGGAGGAAAAGAAACCAACAGGGAUUGCCCUAGUAACGGCGAGUGAAGCGGCAACAGCUCAAAUUUGAAAUCUGGCGUCUUUGGCGUCCGAGUUGUAAUUUGCAGAGGGCGCUUUGGCAUUGGCAGCGGUCCAAGUUCCUUGGAACAGGACGUCACAGAGGGUGAGAAUCCCGUACGUGGUCGCUAGCCUUUACCGUGUAAAGCCCCUUCGACGAGUCGAGUUGUUUGGGAAUGCAGCUCUAAAUGGGAGGUAAAUUUCUUCUAAAGCUAAAUACUGGCCAGAGACCGAUAGCGCACAAGUAGAGUGAUCGAAAGAUGAAAAGCACUUUGGAAAGAGAGUUAAAAAGCACGUGAAAUUGUUGAAAGGGAAGCGCUUGCAGCCAGACUUGCCUGUAGUUGCUCAUCCGGGUUUUUACCCGGUGCACUCUUCUACGGGCAGGCCAGCAUCAGUUUGGGCGGUUGGAUAAAGGUCUCUGUCAUGUACCUCCUCUCGGGGAGAUCUUAUAGGGGAGACGACAUGCAACCAGCCUGGACUGAGGUCCGCGCAUCUGCUAGGAUGCUGGCGUAAUGGCUGUAAGCGGCCCGUCUUGAAACACGGACC